GUAUGGGUCACCGCAAGGUUUCUGGCAUUGCCAGACAAUAUUCCGCGGCUUGCACCGCAAGCCGCGACCGGCCCCGCCGGAUGAAACCAGAACGCCGGUACGACACCGGC
rfam:Pseudomonas sp. M47T1 contig02, whole genome shotgun sequence.